CAGUAAAAAAAUACUAUAAUAAAUCGGUAACAUAUGUUGCCAGACAAGAAUAAGUGAUAUAAAUAAAGAGUCAAGAGACAUAGCCCCUCAAGAACAAUGUGUAAAGAUUUAAACUUUCAAUGUAUUAGUUAAGCUAGGAACAUUUUAGAAGUAACUUGAAAGCGGUGUACUGUUUGUUUAUAUCAUUCCUUCUCUUUUUUAUUUUUUUUCUUUUUUUCUUUUUUCUUCUCUUCAGAUUGCAUUUUAAAUCAAAAUGUUCUCCAUGACUGACUGCUUUGCAGCACUAGGCUAGGAUAGAGGAAUGAGUCUUCCUCUAACAACACAGCAUGGUGCAUGCGCGAUCCUCAAGCAUCCCCAGACCGACGGCACGGCAGCCACUGGGCCUGCAGGUUAAUACAUGUAAAGUAACCUGUGUAUCUCCAAGACAGUAUCGGGGUUGUUUCCUGAAGAAGCCUAUAGGUAAAGAGACAUUCAUACAUUCACACGGGAGGAUUCAUAAAGGCAGGAUGAGAAUAUAAAGGUAUUAUUUUGACAUGACAAGCCCUGCUUGGAAAAUGUCUUCGACUCAUCCAAAGUUGUUGCCACUUUUGCUGCCUUUGCUUUGAAGAAGUCAAGUAAUUCUCUGGCCCCUUUGAAAUAUGUCUCAUCUGCACCGAAUUUCUGCCAACCAACCAACCCAUAGAUACGGACAUAAGAAAAAUUUAUUAUCAUCGAGUCAGGUUUUCUUUUUACUUAAUCUGAGGCAAUUAGUACCUGAAUAAACACAGACUAAGUAAUCUACCUCCUCAAAAGGUAAUUAGACUUGAAAAGCACUGUUCAGCUCUACCCAAGGAAAGCACAGCUCUGAUUAAAACACUUUGGAGAUUCGCUUUCAUCCCUAUUGCCUUUUGCCCCGGAAAACCUUUUAUAAAAUCCCUAUAACUUUUAAUUUUUCCCCAUACCAAACCUGAGGGCCACUCUUGGCCAUUGCUGCCCUCUUCCACCUCCUCAAAUCUUUAACCCCGCUUCUCAUUUUUCUUUGCCUCUAAUCUAAUCGCUAAUUCCUUGGCUUGGCCAAAUAGUUAAAAAUGUUAAGUGCUGCUUGCAAUUCCUGCUGCCUCCCCCUCGUAUCUGUCUCUGUUUAUGGAAUGGGCCCUGGUUUCCUCCUGCUCUUGUUCAGCUGUAGGUCUGCAGGUCAGGAGACUGUAAAUACACACAGAGCUGCCCCAACCCAUAAAUCUGAGCAAAGGGCAGCCUUAUAUAUUCAGAUAAGGGAUGCAAGGCAGGGGGUGGAGGGGGAUGGAAGAAAAGAAAUGGAAGAGAACAGGCAGACUCUGUGGUGAAGGAGGCACUUCGCUAGUGACAAAACCUGAGGUGCCAGCAGGCACUGGGGGUAAGCUCUGCAGGACAGAGAAAGGAAAGCUCUGCUACCUUGCAGGAUGUGCCUGUGAGAGAUGAAUCUGAAAUGUCUGCCCUUCUCCCACUCCUCCUUGUUUAUAUAUAAAUCAUUACAAAAUGCAUUUUAUUACUUUUGGGGCAACGAAAUUAAACAAGAGAUUUUCGAUGGCUUU